GCUUUAUGUCCGGCCAAGAACAAUAAAUCAUCCGCUGGCUCCUCCCGUUGAGAUCGCUGGUGGUGAGUGGUUUGGUUGAUUCCUUGUUGCUGUCUCUGAUGAGCCCUCUUCCUACUACGCUGAGUGUUUGAUCUGCUCUGUUGAUGAGUUCAUCGGAGACAUUGCUGUUUCUCUACGACGAAUGUUUGAUCUACUCUGUUGAUGAGUUUAUGAACAUUUAUCCGGCGUUGCCGAGACGGACCAUCUCUUUAAUUACUACUACAGUUUCCUCACUUCCAACCACUCACCAUUUUCCCUGUUUUGCUUAAGUCAAGCAAUAAAGACUUUUUUACUUGCA